rnacentral:rRNA from 1 species
CGUGUGGUUCUAUUUUGUUGGUUUCUAGGACCGCCGUAAUGAUUAAUAGGGACAGUCGGGGGCAUCAGUAUUCAGCUGUCAGAGGUGAAAUUCUUGGAUUUAUUGAAGACUAACUACUGCGAAAGCAUUUGCCAAGGAUGUUUUCAUUAAUCAGGAACGAAAGUUAGGGGAUCGAAGACGAUCAGAUACCGUCGUAGUCUUAACCAUAAACUAUGCCGACUAGGGAUCGGACGGUGUUAUUUUUUGACCCGUUCGGCACCUUACGAGAAAUCAAAGUGCUUGGGCUCCAGGGGGAGUAUGGUCGCAAGGCUGAAACUUAAAGAAAUUGACGGAAGGGCACCACCAGGGGUGGAGCCUGCGGCUUAAUUUGACUCAACACGG